rnacentral:rRNA from 1 species
CCUACGGGAGGCAGCAGUGGGGAAUAUUGCACAAUGGGGGCAACCCUGAUGCAGCGAAGCCGCGUGAGUGAAGCAGUAUGUCGGUAUGUAAAGCUCUAUCAGCAGGGAAGAAAAUGACGGUACCUGAUUAAGUAGCCGCGGCUAACUACGUGCAAGCUGCCGCGGUUAUAAGUAGGGGGCAAGCGUUAUCCGGAUUUACCGGGUGUAAAGGGGGCGUAGACGGCAGCACAAGUCUGGAGGGAAAUGCCGGGGCUUAAACCCCGAACUGCUGUGGAAACUGUGCAGCGUGAGUGCGGGAGAGGUAAGUGGAAUGCCUAGUGUAGCGGUGAAAUGCGUAGAUAUUAGGAAGAACACCAGUGGCGAAGGCGGCUUACUGGACUGUAACUGACGUUGAGGCUCGAAAGCGUGGGGAUCAAACAGGAUUAGAUACCCGUGUAGUC